rnacentral:misc_RNA from 1 species
GCUUGCUUCAAAUUCAAUUUUAACUGCUGGCUUUUAUCAGGAAAAACUGCAGAAUCAGGGAUUUGAGGUUGUGUUGCCAGACAGGGCAACCAUGGAUCACAUUCUAAUUCCUGCAGUUGAAGCACUGAGUAGAAGAGACAUGGAAGGGGCAAGAAAUCUCUUAAGAAUAGCAAUCCAGAUUCUUUUGGUGAGGGCAGUGAACGUAGUAAUUCUUGCUUCUGAUGAACUUCAGGGUCUUCUGCCUCACGAUGAACCUCUUCUGAAAAAAUGUAUAGACCCCAUGGAUGCAUUGGCCAGGUCAGCCAUAAGAUGGGCUAGGCAUUAAGGCAAGGUACAUAAGAAUACUUGAAGGGAAAUUGCAAUCAUCAUCACUAUCUGCUGAUUUGAGGUGUAAAGGGUUCCUGAGAUUUCCCCCACAAUCGCCUGCAGUAUUUUGCAAAUAGCAAUUCUGCUCGUAUUUCCUGCUUAGUUUUCGCAUCUUGGUGCCAUUCGCUUAUUUCAGCAAAUUCUGUAAGAUUUCAUUAAAUUUUUAUGACUCUUCCGCGUUGUUUGAGUGAUUAUUU